rnacentral:lncRNA from 10 species
GAAAGAUUGAUGGACAGUUCUGGUCAAGAUGGAGGAAGCCACUUGUUCUAGGUGGAUUUAGAAACAGCAGCAGCAAGAGCAGAAACUUGGGAAGAGAGAACCGUGUGCCUGGACCUGUAGAAUACAGCUCCUGCUUGUGUGCUUGAUUUGUGGAGCUGAUGCCUACUCCUAGCUGCAAGGGAGGCUGGCAAAGUGAAAUCAUAGCCUCCAUUUGGGAUAGAAGGCAAGAAGGCCUCAAGUGUAUGAAGACUGUAAAAAGGUGCAGCACAGCUAGAAAACAUGACGAAGGUCCAUGGGCUGGAAUGUAGAAGUGGACUUUUGGCCACGUGGAUGAGGAAUUGAAGCAGUCAGUUCUGAUCUAGAGAUGGAAGGCGCCUGCUGAGGACAGCAGGGCUGCUUGGCACCCUGGGUCCCUGAAUGGCUCUGUGGAGCACUGCCUGAUGGCCCACCCUGGACUGUUGCCUGAGACAGAAAUAAACUUUUAUCUUGUUUCAAACACUGCAUUUUGGUGUUUCCUUGUUCAAGCAACUUAUCUACUAUGCCAUAUUCCAACAACUGUAAUACUAGCAAAUAUUUGCUUUUCUCACUGAGUUUUUAUGUUUUGUAGAGAGACAUCCUCCCCAUGGCAGAGAAAAU